rnacentral:tRNA from 1 species
AUCCGGUUAGCUCAGUCGGUAGAGCGCUCCACAGGAAAUAGAGAGGGCCCUGGUUCGAUACAAGGACCACACA